GAUGAACGCUGGCGGCGUGCCUAAUACAUGCAAGUAGAACGCUGAAGCUUGGUGCUUGCACCGAGCGGAUGAGUUGCGAACGGGUGAGUAACGCGUAGGUAACCUGCCUGGUAGCGGGGGAUAACUAUUGGAAACGAUAGCUAAUACCGCAUAAAAGUCGAUAUCGCAUGAUGUUGACUUGAAAGGUGCAAUUGCAUCACUAAGAGAUGGACCUGCGUUGUAUUAGCUAGUUGGUGAGGUAACGGCUCACCAAGGCGACGAUACAUAGCCGACCUGAGAGGGUGAUCGGCCACACUGGGACUGAGACACGGCCCAGACUCCUACGGGAGGCAGCAGUAGGGAAUCUUCGGCAAUGGGGGCAACCCUGACCGAGCAACGCCGCGUGAGUAAAGAAGGUUUUCGGAUCGUAAAGCUCUGUUGUAAGAGAAGAACGAGUGUGAGAGUGGAAAGUUCACACU
rnacentral:rRNA from 1 species